UACGUAGGGGCAAGCGUUAUCCGGAUUUACUGGGUGUAAAGGGAGCGCAGACGGAACUGCAAGUCUGAUGUGAAAGCCCGGGGCUCAACCGCGGGACUGCAUUGGAAACUGUAGAUCUGGAGUGCCGGAGGGGCAAGCGGAAUUCCUGGUGUAGCGGUGAAAUGCGUAGAUAUCAGGAGGAACACCGGCGGCGAAGGCGGCUUGCUGGACGGCAACUGACGUUGAGGCUCGAAAGAGUGGGGAGCAAACAGGAUUAGAUACCCGGGUAGU
rnacentral:rRNA from 1 species